GGGUCGAUGCCCGAGCGGUUAAUGGGGGCGGACUGUAAAUCCGUUGGCUAUGCCUACGCUGGUUCAAAUCCAGCUCGGCCCA
rnacentral:tRNA from 7 species